GAGGCAUAUGGUUUGGAUUUGUAAGCUUUUUCUCUCAACUUCUUUUUACAUAACAUAGUUAAAAAGAUUAACAAGACUAAAAAAUUCCAAGUUACUCUUGCAAGUGGUCUUGCUAAGGUAUCACAUGGUAUCUCUAAUUCACA